rnacentral:misc_RNA from 1 species
CUGGUAAGAAUGAAUGAAUGAAUGAAUGACCUAAUAAUCAUUGUUAACCUUAACCCCUUUUUGUGUUUUUGUGAAUGAUUUCUGAUAUGAACUGAAUUUGAUAUGUGUUAGGGUUUCACUGUCAUAUGACUUUUCUUCUGAGAAAGAGAACUUGGGCAGGCUUUGGCAUUCUUGGAAUUUCUUCUUCUGCCACUAGACUUGACCCUACCCCCGAAU